rnacentral:misc_RNA from 1 species
GUGAAUCAUCAAAUUUUUGAACGCAAAUUGCGCUCCCUGGUAUUCCGGGGAGUAUGCCUGUUUGAGGGUCAGUAUUAUCAAAAAAUCGGUUUUUUCGCUUAUUUUUACGUUUCCUGAGAUUGGACUAUCUUAACCUUUUUAGUUAAGGUGCUUAACAUUGACGUUAUUUACGCAUUUUUACAUUUACAUAAAUUUUUUUUUAUUCGUCUAUUGUUAAUGCCAAAGCAUUAUUAGAUCGUAUCA